UUGUUUUAACGCGAAGAACCUUACCCGGUUCUUGACAUUUUUUGCUAAACCAAGAAGAUUGGGCGUUCCCUUCGGGGACGGAAUGACAGGUGGUGCAUGGUUGUCGUCAGCUCGUGUCGUGAGAUGUUGGGUUAAGUCCCGCAACGAGCGCAACCCUUAUUGUCAGUUGCCAGCAUUUAGUUGGGCACUCUGGCGAGACUGCCGGUGACAAACCGGAGGAAGGUGGGGAUGACGUCAAAUCAUCAUGCCCCUUAUGACCUGGGCUACACACGUGCUACAAUGGACGGUACAACGAGUCGCGAAACCGCGAGGUCAAGCUAAUCUCUUAAAGCCGUUCUCAGUUCGGAUUGUAGGCUGCAACUCGCCUACAUGAAGUUGGAAUCGCUAGUAAUCGUGGAUCAGC
rnacentral:rRNA from 1 species